rnacentral:rRNA from 1 species
GCCCAACAGCUAGCCCCCCCCCCACCAAAAACAAAAAACCCCCAUAAUUACCCCCUAAUACCUAAACCCAACCCCUAAAAAAUAUUUUUUCCUCCUU